GUCUACAGCCAUGCCACCCUGAACGUGCCCGAUCUCGCCUGUCUCGGGAGCUAAGCAAGGUCGGGCCUGGUUAGUACUUGGAUGGGAGACCACCUUGGAACAACACCAGGUGCUAUCGGCA
ensembl:rRNA 5S_rRNA 5S ribosomal RNA